CCUACGGGUGGCAGCAGUGAGGAAUAUUGGUCAAUGGACGCAAGCCUGAACCAGCCAUGCCGCGUGAAGGAUGACGGCCCUAUGAGUUGUAAACUGCUUUUGUAAGAGGGUAAACGCAGAUACGUGUACCUGUCUGAAAGUAUCUUACGAAUAAGGAUCGGCUAACUCCGUGCCAGCAGCCGCGGUAAUACGGAGGAUGCAAGCGUUAUCCGGAUUUAUUGGGUUUAAAGGGUGCGUAGGCGGGUUGUUAAGUUCGUGGUGAAAUCCUGCGGCUCAACUUCGAAAUUGCCAUUGAUACUGGUCGUCUAGAGUGUAGUUGCGGUAGGCGGAAUGGGUGGUGUAGCGGUGAAAUGCUUAGAGAUC
rnacentral:rRNA from 1 species